rnacentral:rRNA from 1 species
AUGGACGAAAGUCUGAUGGAGCAACGCCGCGUGAGUGAUGAAGGGUUUCGGCUCGUAAAACUCUGUUGUUGGAGAAGAACAGGUGUGAGAGUAACUGUUCACAUCUUGACGGUAUCCAACCAGAAAGCCACGGCUAACUACGUGCCAGCAGCCGCGGUAAUACGUAGGUGGCAAGCGUUGUCCGGAUUUAUUGGGCGUAAAGCGAGCGCAGGCGGUUUUUUAGGUCUGAUGUGAAAGCCUUCGGCUUAACCGGAGAAGUGCAUCGGAAACCGGGAGACUUGAGUGCAGAAGAGGACAGUGGAACUCCAUGUGUAGCGGUGAAAUGCGUAGAUAUACGGAAGAACACCAGUGGCGAAGGCGGCUGUCUGGUCUGUAACUGACGCUGAGGCUCGAAAGCAUGGGUAGCGAACAGGAUUAGAUACCCUGGUAGUCCAUGCCGUAAACGAUGAGUGCUAAGUGUUGGAGGGUUUCCGCCCUUCAGUGCUGCAGCUAACGCAUUAAGCACUCCGCCUGGGGAGUACGACCGCAAGGUUGAAACUCAAAGGAAUUGACGGGGGCCCGCACAAGCGGUGGAGCAUGUGGUUUAAUUCGAUGCUACGCGAAGAACCUUACCAGGUCUUGACAUCUUCUGCCA